GUGCUUGUUUUGGCAGCACAUAACUAUAACUGGAACAAUUAAGACAGGAUUAGCAUGAGCUCUGUGCAAGGAUGACACAGAAAUUUACAAUGUGUUCCAUAUCUUU